rnacentral:pre_miRNA from 1 species
AGUGUAAUUGCUGGGUUGUAGGGUAGUUGGAUGUUUAAUUUUUAAGGAAAUUAACAACUAUUUUCCAGUGUGGAUGUACCAUUUUAUAUCCCUACCAACAAU